rnacentral:sRNA from 1 species
GAAAAAUAAAUAAAAAGUAUACAUUUAAGUCUUUUAACAU